UUUCCGUAGGUGAACCUGCGGAAGGAUCAUUGUAGAGUUCCUUUUCAAACGGAUGUGAAGUUGUACCAAUACCAAUACACUGAUGUAUUCAGCGUUUUUGCUGUCAGCACUUGCGUUGUUUAGAUGGGUUCCCUUUGCUGCCUUCAUCUUGCUUCAUUUGAAGUGAGAAGUAGAGUAGAAAUAAAAGACCGGCACGGUUUGUGCCAAGGAUAGUCGUUGUUGGAGUACAUUGCCAUCUUUUUGAUGUCUUUUGUUACUCUACAAGCAAAUAGGUCUGAAUGACUCCUGGCAAUGGAUAUCUUGGCUCUC
rnacentral:misc_RNA from 1 species